UACGAAGGGGGCUAGCGUUGUUCGGAAUCACUGGGCGUAAAGGGCGCGUAGGCGGCUUGAUAAGUCGGGGGUGAAAGCCUGUGGCUCAACCACAGAAUUGCCUUCGAUACUGUCGAGCUUGAGACCGGAAGAGGUAAGUGGAACUGCGAGUGUAGAGGUGAAAUGCGUAGAUAUCGGGAGGAACACCAGUGGCGAAGGCGGUUGCCUGGAGCUUUGCUGACGCUGAUGCGCGAAAGCGUGGGGAGCGAUCCGG
rnacentral:rRNA from 1 species